CCUGCGGACACCAUGGAUAUCUCUGCCGGAUGCGCCCUGAGACCCCUUCCGCAUGCAUUGCGUAGUCAUGGCGACAGGGAGAUCGGGAGAGGAAGUGAUCAGUGGUGCGGUGGCCGGAAACAGACACAUUUUAAUUUCUUUGUAUGUCCCACGAUGACAUGUUACUGAUUGGCGUCCCUGGCAGUCGUUGCUGAAUGACAACACAGCACAUGUGAUGCCCAGAUUCUGGCACACAUGUCCAGAGAAGAUGGUGGUGUUUGGAGGAAACAACAUUCAGGAGAAUCGCUCAUUAACUACGCUUAGUUUCAGAAAGAAAGAGUGGAUAGAAACAAGUGCCUUGAUAAAGACACCAUUGGGUGUCGAAACGCGUUGGCUAUGAGGUUGUGUGAAGCAGGGUACAUUGGAGGAUCACCACCGCGAAGGGCUUCUGUUUCCAGGGAUGCCUGUGGACUCUAAGAUCUUGCCUUGUUUGUCUGCAUUUAUUGUAGACCAUUGCGGAUGGUGAGAGACCAACCAUACUCUGUACAUUUAUUAUUGUGUCUGUUUUUAUGUGACGUGGAAAUAAAAGCGGUGUUACACUAUUA